rnacentral:rRNA from 1 species
AGGAAAAGAAAGAAACAUCGAUUUCCAAAGUAGCGGCGAGCGAAAUGGAAGGAGCCCAAACCGAUAUUGUUACGGCAAUAUCGGGGUUGUAGGACUGCAAUAUUCAAUUAACAAUGAACUGGAAUGGUCUGGAAAGUCCAUCCAUAGAGAGUGAAAGGCUCGUACAGGUAAGUUUGUUAUGCGAAAGCAGUAUCCUGAGUAUGGCGGGACACGAGGAAUCCUGUCAGAAUCAGCCGGGACCACCCGGUAAGGCUAAAUACUCCCAAGAGACCGAUAGUGGACCAGUACUGUGAAGGAAAGGUGAAAAGAACCCCGAACAGGGGAGUGAAAUAGAACCUGAAACCAUACGCUUACAACCGGUCGGAGCAGCUUCGUGCUGUGACGGCGUGCCUAUUGAAUAAUGAGCCUACGAGUUACUAAUCACUAGCGAGGUUAAGUGCAAGGAUGCACGGAGCCGAAGCGAAAGCGAGUCUGAACAGGGCGUUUAGUUAGUGGUUGUAGACGCGAAACCUUGCGAUCUACCCUUGAGCAGGUUGAAGGUUGGGUAAAACCAACUGGAGGACCGAACGAAUAAGCGUUGAAAAGCUUCUCGAUGACUUGAGGGUAGGGGUGAAAGGCUAAUCAAGCUGGGAAAUAGCUCGUACUCCCCGAAAUGCCUUUUGGGGCAGCGUUGUAAUAAAGAGUCUACUGGAGGUAGAGCUACUGAUUGGAUGCGGGGGCUUCACCGCCUACCAAAUCCUGACAAACUCCGAAUGCCAGUAGUAUGAUUUACAGCAGUGAGUGACUGGGUGCUAAUGUCCAGUCGCAAAAGAGGAACAACUCAGACCAGCAACUAAGGUCCCGAAGAAUAUGCUAAGUUGAUCUAACGAUGUUUUGUUGCAGAGACAGCUAGGAUGUUAGCUUGGAAGCAGCUAUUCAUUCAAAGAGUGCGUAACAGCUCACUAGUCGAGCGACAGAGCGUGGAUAAUAAACGGGCAUCAAGCAUAUCACCGAAGUUCUGGGCGCGAGAGCGCGGUAGGGGAGCAUUCCAUUCAGCGUCGAAGCAGUUUCGUGAGGAAUUGUGGAGCGUAUGGAAAAGCAAAUGUAGGCAUGAGUAACGAUAAUGCGGGAGAGUAACCCGCACACCGCAAGACCAAGGUUUCCUGAUCAACGCUAAUCGGAUCAGGGUUAGUCGGGUCCUAAGGGUAAGCCGAACGGCGAUCUCGAUGGAUAAUCGGUUAAUAUUCCGAUACUAACAUAUACCUCGAUGGAGAGACGAAGGAACGUAAGUGCCGCCACCUGACGGAAUAGGUGGUUAAAGGGCGUAGAUAUAGGGGCAGAUUAAGAGUUAGUCCUUGCUGAAACCUGACAGUACAGAGAGCCUACGGGCAAUUUGAUAGAGCACCCAAGUCGACUUCCGAGAAAAUCUUCUAAGUUAUAGUAUAUGUUACCCGUACCGUAAACCGACACAGGUGGUCGAGGAGAGUAUCCUAAGGUGCUCGAGUGAAUCACGGUUAAGGAACUAGGCAAAUUAACCCCGUAACUUCGGGAAAAGGGGUCCCUAUGAAAGUAGGGCGCAGCGAAGAGGUCCAGGCGACUGUUUAUCAAAAACACAGGGCUCUGCAAAUUCGAAAGAAGACGUAUAGGGCCUGACACCUGCCCGGUGCUGGAAGGUUAAGAGGGGAUGUCAUCGCAAGAGAAGCAUUGAAUCGAAGCCCCAGUAAACGGCGGCCGUAACUAUAACGGUCCUAAGGUAGCGAAAUUCCUUGUCGGGUAAGUUCCGACCUG